rnacentral:pre_miRNA from 7 species
UUUCGGGGCUCCUGGGUGUCAUGAAGAUCUCGUUGGGCCCUCCAAAUGAAAGAUCCUAGUGGGGAAAACCCCACUCAACUACUGAUUCGACGGGCACCCAAGAAUCACGAACAGACCA